UCAGUGUAUGUUCCUCCCUAAAUGUCAGAGACCAAGUUUCAUUCCCUACACUUUAUUUAUAUUACACGCAAAAUGGUUGUAUGGCGAAAAAUUCUGGCGCUUUCGUUCACUUUGUUUAACUAUCUCCAGACCCCAGUACUUAAGAAAACAAAUUGGACUGCAAAACGUUUAAUUUUUAUCUACAAUUUCGUUAGAUUUUUUUUUUCGCUGGGGUGAACAUUCAUUGGGUUAAGCUUGUAGGUCAUCAUGUAAAGCGUUCGCCAUUUUUAUCUCAUUUUAACCAAAGUCUGGAUGUGCCGAGAAAUAUUUAUAAAACUUCCCAAUACCAAAUUCCAGGACAAUACGUUCGCUGGCUCUCGGAUUAUUUAAUGCGGACGGACGGAAGACUUAUCGUCACGAUUCUUUCAUGUUACAUGUUGCGAGGGGGAUAGAUAGAUUGCAAGCAUCGAAUGACGAGUUGAUAUUCAGUCGACCUUGAGGUUAGGGGGUAAGCUGCAGGGAGGGAAUUUACAUCAGUCUUGACCAGUUGACACGUGUCACUUCCCCACCUUGCUGUCUCGCCAUAUACGACUGAGUACUUGAGGGAGGGGAUGGGUUGUCAUUUGGUGUCUCAGACUUUCAGUGCUAGACGUUGUUCGAAGACGCGUGCUGUGUUCAGUUAGUUUAAGUUCGUGAAUUAAAGGCUUGAUAUUGAUAUAGUGUCAGUUUAUGUGUUGUGUUUACAUCAAUAAAUAUAUAUAAUUGAAGGCGAGUGCGUGAGUGUUAUGUAAGAGUGUUUAUUUGUGACUUAAGAAACAGCAGUAACGCCAAGUGGCCGGGGCUUCAUCUAGGUCUCGGAGGACAAUUAUGCACAGGCUUCUUAAGAUGGUCAUUGUGAUACUGAAUCUUCUUAGAAGUCACUUUUACAAAUGGUGCAAAGAUAAGGAUCGCUUUAGUUCCCUUUCGACCAGAAGGGACAAUGCUAUGGGUGUUUGCCAACUAUCUUGAUAAUACAAGUGCCAGUGAAGAUACAGUCAUGAAGCAGAUCCACAGCUCAUCGGUUUCUAUCCUCAUCAUCGCAACUUGGAUCAUGUCGAGGAUCCCCAUCAG